GACGAACGCUGGCGGCGUGCUUAACACAUGCAAGUCGAACGGAAAGGCCCUGCUUUUGUGGGGUGCUCGAGUGGCGAACGGGUGAGUAACACGUGAGUAACCUGCCCUUGACUUUGGGAUAACUUCAGGAAACUGGGGCUAAUACCGGAUAGGAGCUCCUGUUGCAUGGUGGGGGUUGGAAAGUUUCGGCGGUUGGGGAUGGACUCGCGGCUUAUCAGCUUGUUGGUGGGGUAGUGGCUUACCAAGGCUUUGACGGGUAGCCGGCCUGAGAGGGUGACCGGCCACAUUGGGACUGAGAUACGGCGCAGACUCCUACGGGAGGCAGCAGUGGGGAAUAUUGCACAAUGGGCGGAAGCCUGAUGCAGCAACGCCGCGUGCGGGAUGACGGCCUUCGGGUUGUAAACCGCUUUCGCCUGUGACGAAGCGUGAGUGACGGUAAUGGGUAAAGAAGCACCGGCUAACUACGUG
rnacentral:rRNA from 1 species